GAGUUACUCCCUCCGUUCCUAAUUAAUUAUCACGGGUAUGGAUGUAUCUAAAUAUAUUUUAGUUCUAGAUACAUCCAUUUCUGCGACGAGUAAUUUGGAACGAAGGGAGUAGAUA
rfam:Triticum aestivum genome assembly, contig: Triticum_aestivum_CS42_TGACv1_scaffold_557310_7AL